CAGUCUGGUUAAGAACCAUUGCUGGGGAGCUAGAGCUGUCAUUUGGAGAGUAGUAUCCUGAGAAGAAGAGGAAGCAACCAGAGUUCUCCCUCUGCCAUGUGAGAAGACAGUAGAAUGUGGCUGUCUGUAGCCAGAAAGAGAGACUUAUCGAGAACUAAAUUGGCUGGCACCUUAUUCUUGGACUUCCCAGCCUUCAGAUCUGUGAGAAAUAAACAUCUGUUGUUGAAGUCACCCAGUCUAUGGUGUUUCGUUAUAGUAACUGGAGAAGUCUAAGAGAAUACAGCAAAAUGGUUUGAAUAUGUUUUAAUUCUACAAUUAAAAUGUUGGAAGAAAAGAAGUGUGGUAUAAUUCACAUUUAAAAAAUUAUAUUCAAUUUAUUUUUUGGAAAGUAUAUUUAUGUUUAUCUUUCAGACUCUGGUAAUGACUGCCAGGUCUCAGUCUUCAGUUUGAAGUUCUCACUGAGCUUCACACCUUUGUCCCUGUCUGUUGUAUUUACUUCUUUGGAUAAAACGUCCCCAUUAUGUAUGGUAGGUUAAGAAAAAAAAAAUCCCUUCUUCAUUUCUUUUCACAGGCAUUACUGUCCACCAGCCAUCUAGGCUUGAGAACUUGGAGACCUCCAUGGAAAAGUCUUGCUCCCUAAACUUCUUUACUAAACAUCCAAGAUCCCCUCUUUUCUAUAUGCCUAAAUUAUAAAAUUUCUAGCACAGAACUUUUUAUUUAUAAACAAUUCUACAUUUUAAGCAUUUAUUCAUAUGUGUCUUAUUUGUUUCUUUAAUUUAUUAUAAAUUUGAUGGCAUGGAACCCAAAUUUGUCUUCUAUAUCUCUCCUAACAUUUAACAUAGAGCUAGGUAACUAAUGAUGCUUAGCUAAUUCUUUUCUAUGAUUAUGACUG
rnacentral:lncRNA from 10 species